rnacentral:rRNA from 1 species
CAGCCCGCUACUGACGUUGAGGCUCGAAGGUGCGGGUAUCGAACAGGAUUAGAUACCCUGGUAGCCCGCACGGUAAACGAUGGACACCCGCCGUGGGCGACAUACAGUCCGCGGCCAAGCGAAAGCGUUAAGUGUCCCGCCUGGGGAGUACGCCGGCAACGGUGAAACUCAAAGGAAUUGACGGGGGCCCGCACAAGCGGAGGAACAUGUGGUUUAAUUCGAUGAUACGCGAGGAACCUUACCCGGGCUCGAACCUCCCCCGAAUCCGGCGGAGACGCCGGAGCCAGCAAUGGCGGGGGCGGAGGUGCUGCAUGGUUGUCGUCGGCUCGUGCCGUGAGGUGUCGGCUUAAGUGCCAUAACGAGCGCAACCCCUCCCUCCAGUUGCCAUCGGGUAAUGCCGGGGACUCUGGAGGCACUGCCAUCGCAAGAUGCGAGGAAGGCGGGGAUGACGUCAAAUCAGCACGGCCCUUACGUCCGGGGCUACACACGUGUUACAAUGGGGGGUACAGAGGGCCGCUGCACGGCGACGUGCGGCCAAUCCCUAAAUCCCCUCCCAGUUCGGACCGGAGUCUGGAACCCGACUCCGCGAAGCUGGAUUCGCUAGUAAUCGCGCAUCAGCCAUGGCGCGGUGAAUACGUUCCCGGGCCUUGUACACACCGCCGUCAAGCCAUG